AAAUAAGAAACAAAAAAUUUGUGUUUAGUUUCGACCUAAAAUAUUGGUGUGCACCACCCUUGUUUA
rnacentral:tRNA from 1 species